UGCAAGACGAGCAUACAAACAAACACGUGUGUUACUAUAUUCAGAAGAACUGUAUCUCCAGUUCCUUUGUUUGGUUUUUGCUGCUUCGUGAAUAAUGGCUGGACGACGUCUCGCGUUCAACUCGCCUUCAACUCCUCUCCGCGGUCACCAACUUUCGGCCAGUCCGCAGACAGACGAGAAGAAGCUGCUGAAAGCUCUCAGUGGAUCGUCUCGUCAACUCCAACAACAAACUGCCGAUAUCAACGAGCGGUUCGCUCCACUGGAGCGUUCGGGACUCUCCGGGUUUCUGUCCAUGGAGGAGAGGAACCGACUCAAAGAAGAGGAGACGGGCGCACAAUCCCAAGAUAGCGGAAGCGGUGCGCCGUCUUCACAACUCCGAGACGAAUCACAGGCGCUACGAACCGGAGCAAGGCCGCCUGUGAGACGUAUUUUGAGACGGGACGCAGGAGCUUCAGGUUUUCCAGCCGGACACUCAUUGCGGGCGGAAGCUGCGAAGGAUUCAGCGCAGAGUCGAGCGAGAAGAAAGAGGCUGCUGGAAUCGAGACAAAGUGUCCUGGCUGAUGACGAGGUGGAACUCUGGAAAUCCGCCACCGUAGAGCUCACGUCGGACGGAGAGGAUGGCGUUGUUGGCGGGGUCUCGGGGUGGAUUGUACGGUCGCCACACACACGAGGCGCCUGCAUAACUGACCUGCCUCGGAAAACACGGCGCCAGUGACAGUCUACAACCCCGAGGAGGCAAACGGACAGUUUACUGAGCUGUAGUUUUUAAACCGCCGUUACCCAAGUGUGGGCAGAUCCUCACUUUGUAUGUAGUUGUUGUUUGUGUGUUGUUAAUAAAGCUCUUUCUUUGCAUAA
ensembl:lncRNA